rnacentral:rRNA from 1 species
UACUAGAGUAGCACUCGCAUAUCAAUAAGCGGAGGAAAAGAAACUAACAAGGAUUCCCCUAGUAACGGCGAGUGAAGCGGGAAGAGCUCAAAUUUGAAAUCUUAAAGGGUUUCCCUUUACGAAUUGUAGUUUAAAGAAGUGUUUUCUGUUGAGGUUUUGGUAAAAGUUCUUUGGAAUAGGACAUCAUAGAGGGUGAGAAUCCCGUAUUUGACCUUUACUUUCAACUUUGUGAUACACUUUCAAAGAGUCGGAUUGUUUGGGAAUGCAGUCCAAAAUGGGUGGUAAAUUUCAUCUAAAGCUAAAUAUUGGCGAGAGACCGAUAGCGAACAAGUACCGUGAGGGAAAGAUGAAAAGAACUUUGAAAAGAGAGUUAAACAGUACGUGAAAUUGUCAAAAGGGAAGCGUUUGACACCAGUGUUGUUUUUCUGAAAAUCAAUUAAAGAACUGUUUAUGCUAAGUUGUUUAGACUUUAUCAGCUAACUGUUUAGUUUUGAGCUUUUCCUUAAUGCACUUUUCAGUUAACAAGUCAACAUCAAUUUCUUUUGCUGUAAAAAAGCUUGAGGAAGGUGGCUUGAGAUUCGUCUUACGUGUUUAUAGCCUCUUGCCUAUGCAGUCGGAGAGAUUGAGGUCUGCAGCGUAGAUCCUUCGGGGCUAAAUGCAUUUGUGCUAAGUUAUAGCAUUUUAUAGACAACUUGUUGACUAUGAUUUGUCUUGUAGCUUACUCGCUUAUGUUAUUUUACCUACGCUUAGGAUGUUGAGCGCAUGUCUCUCUCU